GAUGAAGAACGCAGCGAAAUGCGAUACUUGGUGUGAAUUGCAGAAUCCCGUGAACCAUCGAGUCUUUGAACGCAAGUUGCGCCCGAAGCCAUUAGGCCGAGGGCACGCCUGCCUGGGCGUCACACGUCGUUGCCCCCCCAUCUACUCCUUCGGGAUUGCGGGGGGCGGAUGAUGGCCUCCCGUGCGCCUCGUCGCGCGGUUGGCAUAAAUGCCAAGUCCUCGGCGACGCACGCCACGACAAUCGGUGGUUGCGAAACCUCGGUUGCCCGUAGUGUGCGGUCGUCGCGCAUCGAGGGCUCGAAAAAAGUGUCGGGCUCCGGCUCGGCUUUCAACGCGACCCCAGGUCAGGCGGGGUUACCCGCUGAAUUUAAGCAUAUCAAUAAGCGGAGGA
rnacentral:misc_RNA from 1 species